rnacentral:rRNA from 1 species
UUUCCAGAGAUGGAUUGGUGCCUUCGGGAACUGUGAGACAGGUGCUGCAUGGCUGUCGUCAGCUCGUGUUGUGAAAUGUUGGGUUAAGUCCCGCAACGAGCGCAACCCUUAUCCUUUGUUGCCAGCGAUUAGGUCGGGAACUCAAAGGAGACUGCCAGUGAUAAACUGGAGGAAGGUGGGGAUGACGUCAAGUCAUCAUGGCCCUUACGACCAGGGCUACACACGUGCUACAAUGGCGCAUACAAAGAGAAGCGACCUCGCGAGAGCAAGCGGACCUCAUAAAGUGCGUCGUAGUCCGGAUUGGAGUCUGCAACUCGACUCCAUGAAGUCGGAAUCGCUAGUAAUCGUGGAUCAGAAUGCCACGGUGAAUACGUUCCCGGGCCUUGUACACACCG